CACCACUAGGUUUAUGGACUACCUCGUCUAUGGCAGAGUCGCGUCCAUUAUUUACAGCCUAAAAUAAAUAGAGAGGAACUGUUUCAUAUGCAGUUUUGUCAAGUAAAUAUUUUAUUGAAACGUGUAAUAAAAUGUUGAACUCGCGAGGUUGAUUUAUCACUUAGUUUUAGUGAUUGAACGGAGUAAAAUAUUUGUGAAAUAUUUUAUCAAACAUGAAUUUGCAUUUCUAGUUUCGCUAUGCAUAUGUUGAAUGUGUGAAGAUGGCAGACAGAGAAAGGAUCGGAUUUAUUUUAUGACGUUUGCUGCGAUAUAUGCGAAGAGAAAAAUGUCAAUAAGCAAGCCAUGUUUUAUUGUCAGAAAUGUUCGAAAGGCCUUUGUGACGAGUGUUUAGGGCUUCACAAACACUUUUUCACAAAGCACGUCGCGUAUGGAAGAGAAAAGAUGGAUAAAUGGUCUUUUACAACAAAAUCUUUCGAUGAACUGCAGUUUUGUCUACACCAUCCUGAUCGUCUGAUAGAGAUGUUUUGUGAAGAUCACAGUAAAUAAUGUUGCUCCAUGUGCCACUUCCAUGAACACAGGCCCUGUAUCAAGCUUGUGCUGAUAAAAGACUAAUAAAAAGCAUUCCAUGAUGCGGGGAAUUUCAUAAAAUAUCUGCAACUAUAACCAAUGUUCAACAAGAGCUUAAGACUGCAAUUGAUGAUACACAGGAAUUUCUGAAGAAACUGCUGGAUUCGUAUGAUAAAGCUUAUGAUGAAAUUAAAUUGUUUCGUCAGAAAAUCAACGAUAUACUUGACGAAUUGGAGAGAAGUACAAUAAAUUCCAUGGACACCUGGCUGCAAACAAUGAAAAAGUAUUUACAAAGUGACACAGACAAGUGUUCGAAAGCCACAAACGGUUAAAAGAAAAUCAGCGAUGCGAUCAAUAAUAUAAAAAUGAUCAAAACGAUGUAACAUUUAUAGCGCAACAAAGAGCAUCGGAAAUGGUUUCACAUGCUGAUAGUAUUUUAAAAGAGUUGACUGUUCACAGAAGCACUGUUGUAACGUUUAAGAGCAACCCUAGUAUUGAUGAAACACUAUAAGGGUUUCGUUGCCUUGGAGAUAUUAAAUGUGAUGAAAAGCAGCCGGAUAAAAACAAAAACACGACACUCGAGUGUAGUAACAAAUCGCUUUAUGAUAUCCGAAUCGCAUCUGAUCGUAGUUCAUGCGACAUAAGGAACAUAUGCGGGCAGAAAUCCUUAUAGCGGACAGAGUCAACAUGAGGACGAAAUUGCUUGAUGCGCAGUACAAAGUUGUCACACAUACUGACACAUACUGACCUUAGGUCCUGUCCAUGGGACAUGUGCAGUAUCAGUCCUACCGAGGUCGCUGUUACAGUUGGUGUUUUUGUAAUACUUAAACUGUCCAGUUCCUCACUGUGAACAACAAACAGAAAAUUUAAGGCAGGGAACUGAAAUUCAAACACAAUUGUCAUGGUAUAACACACUUAAACGGCAGUUUGUUUAUCACAUCAAUGACUACCUUGCAUCAGUACACACUGGCUGGUCAGCAGGUGAAGAAGAUCUAUGAAGAUACUUCUCAUGAAUACACAGUUCAUGUGUCCACAUUGAUGACCACAGUGUGUUGCUGCAUCAGCAUAUCUGCCUUGGUGGCGAAGAUGAGGGACUGUUUUGUAAAGUAAAACAUGAAUUCAGUGAUUAUUGACGGAAAACAAUGUUUAAGUGUACAGUUAGUGCGGCUGGAUCAAAGCUGUUUGCUACCAACUACAGUCGCGACAGGCUCCUGACCUUGUCAAUGGAUGGGACUGUCCUGUCAUCCUUGGAAGAUCCUGCACUAAAAGGUCCUAGAGGUCUACACAUAUCACAGACAGGACAGCUGCAGCUGGUCUGUGGACGUGGUUUACAAAACGUGGUCCAGGUGAAUGGUGAGGGUGGAGUAGUGACGCUGGCUUCCAAGACGGAUGAAUUGUGUGAACCAGAGUCUGUAUACUUCAGUGCUUGUACUAGCAGGGUUAUUGUACGUUGGUCAAACCAGUGAUAAAAUUCUGGUUAUCAAGACUUACUAAAACACAAAAUGUAUUUAUUGUAUUGCAUACUUACAUUUUAAUCCACGACAACAGUGCAUAUUACGAAAACAUUUGCUGGUAAGAACAAUCAUACAUAUACAACUCACUCGGUAAUCUGUUUGCUUCAGUUUAAGUUGCUCAUAUUUUUUUUAAUAACACAAGUUAGACAAGUCCAUAAUUUAGUUUUGAACUUAUAAUCUGUUUGGCGCUGUUCCCGAUUAUAGUGUCUAUGUCAGUACAUUGAAAUAUGUCAUUACCAUUCAAAACUGAGCUUAAAUUGUUGGUGUUCUCAUAUUGUUCAAAUAACAUAAGAAGCACAUGUAGGGUACUUAUAAUAAGUGCCAACACUUAAGUACUGUUCAUUACCUAGUUUAAACCUAUUCAUUUUAGCUCAAUUGCAUCGGAAGUCCAAGGCUUAUAAACGCUCUCGAGUUCGUUUCCUGUGCCUAGAAACAGUACUUGGUGUCUUUGGGGGGAUCUAAAGAAAGCUCCCACGGUGGUUCGAGCCCGUGACCUCGCGGUCGCUAGGCGGACACCAUAUCCAUAACACCACGGCGACCUGUUCAUAAAUUCAUUUUCGAUAACGAAGCUUAGGCACCUUUAUAAAAAAAGAGGGAUGGCGGAUUUAGUUUUAUUUAAAUAUUUAUUUUAUUUUUGUGCUCCCCGAAAAUUUUCGGGGAGCAUAUAGUUGCCAGUUUGUCCUUCCUUCCUUACUUCCGUCACACUUUUGUUACAUUUUGUCAUAGCAUCUUCAAUACUUUACCGAUCUCUUUCAUAUUUGGCAUGUAUGUACCUUGCAUGGACCUCUACCUGUUGAUGAGGUUUGAGGUCACUGGGGUCAAGUUCAAGGUCACCGAGGCUAAUAAUAGAUUUUUCUGUCACACUUUUGUUACAGUUUGUAAUAGCACCUUCAAUACUUUACCGAUCUCUUUCAUAUUUGGCAUGUAGGUAUCUUGCAUGGACCUCUACCUUUUGAUGAGGUUUGAGGUCACUGGGGUCAAGGUCACCGAGGCUCAUAAUAGAUUUUUCCGUCACACUUUUGUAACAGUUUCUCAUAUCAGCUUCAAUACUUUACCGAUCUCUUUCAUAUUUGGCAUGUUGGUACCUUGCAUGGACCUCUACCUUUUGAUGAGGUUUGAGGUCACUGGGGUCAAGGUCACCGAGGCUUAUAAUAGAUUUUUCCGUCACACUUUUGUUACAGUUUAUCAUAUCAGCUUCAAUACUUUACCGAUCUCUUUCAUGUUUGGCAUGUAGGUACCUUGCACGGACUUCUACCUUUUGAUUAGGUUUGAGGUCAAUGGGGUCAAGGUCACCGAGGCUAAUAAUAGAUUUUUCCGUCACACUUUUGUUACAGUUUCUCAUAGCACCUUCAAUACUUUACCGAUCUCUAUUAUAUUUGGCAUGUAGGUACCUUGCAUGGACCUCUACCUUUUGAUUAGGUUUGAGGUCACUGGGGUCAAGGUCACUGAGGCUAUUAAUAUAUUUUCCGUCACGCUUUUGUAACAGUUUCUCAUAGCACCUUCAAUACUUUACCGAUCUCUUUCAUAUUUGGCAUGUAGGUACCUUGCAUGGGCCUCUACCUUUUGAUGAGGGUUGAGGUCACUGAGUUCAAGGCCACCGAGGCUAAUAAAAUAUUUUUAGGUGGUUAUUAACACAUCGAUUGACAAAGCGCAUCAUCGGUGAGCAUCCAUCUGUUUCACUGAUAUUCUUGUUGUUUCUGCUCUUGUAUUUACCAUAGUUAAAUAAGAAAAUAAUUGUAUUAAUUGUUUGUUACUAUUGAUCCAUUUUUCACAUAUUUUUUCUAAAUAGUUUUUUAAAUGUCAAUUUAGAGUGUGUUAAAACCAUUUGUUCUCGGCUUGAAUGAUUACGUUUUCAUUGGGCGCCUCAUCUGAUCCAGCUCAUUACUCAAAGAGAAUUGUAAGAUAUUAUAAUACAACAUCAUACAGUGAAA